CGUGACGAGACUGACCUAAGAUCUGGACAACAGAUUCCUCUAUCUCCCGGAGACCGUCGGAGACCAUACGGAUCGGAUUGGACUCAUCGAAUCCGAUAUCCGCCGCGGCCGAUGCGGCGAUGAGAAUCACCAGAACCACCGAUGGUAGGAUUGUUUUCACAGACAUGGUUUCUUCUCGUGGUCUUCUGGUUCUUACUUUUUCUCAACGCUACAGCUUCAGUGGUUUAGCUCGAGAGAUAGAAGGAAGACUAGAAGACGGAAGAGAGAUACGGCCGGGAAAGUUAUCG
rnacentral:lncRNA from 1 species